GCUCCCGUAGCUCAGUGGAUAGAGCAGUGGCUUCCUAAGCCAUUGGUCGGCCGUUCGAAUCGGCCCGGGAGUG
rnacentral:tRNA from 1 species